rnacentral:pre_miRNA from 1 species
ACCUCCCAUCAGGAUACAUCCCGUUGGGAUGCAUUCUGUCAGAAUGCACCUCAUCAGGAUACAUCCCAUCGGGAUGCACCCCAUGGGGCAG